AGUUAUUUGUCUUAUUCUCUUUCACGUUCGAGAAAUAAACUCUCUCUUUCUCUCUUCUCUCUGCGAUUAUCCUGAUCUCUCUUCUCAUCAUCUUCUUCGUCGAUUCCGUAUGUAGCCGGCGUUAUCAUCAUGUUCUUCGUCGAAUCGAGUCUUGGCCGGAGUUAUCAUCAUCUUUUCGGUGAACAGAGAUCGUUGAGUUAGCUUGGGCGAGAAAAAGUGAAGAGUUUUGGAGCGAAAAUUGGGAGUAAAUUGUGAAGGAUUCUCCAAUCGAUUAUUUGAAGAAUGCGUUGCGCUCUGAAUCAAAUACCGCAUUGUGCAAAGUUUCCACUGCAAAAGAUUCAUACAUUGUGAGGUGCUGCGUUAAAGGCUCUCUCUUGGAGGUGAACGAGAGAUUAAUAAACCAACCAGAGCUUCUUAAUUCAUCGUCCCACAAGCCGUCUUCUGCGCCAGACAAGUGUAGGGAGUGUUUGCCCCUUGUCCUAAUCAUGAGGAACAUGUUGAAGUAUGCUUUGACAUACAGAGAGACAAGCUGUAAAGCACAGAGCAAAUGGGGUUUGGUAUUCCGAUAUCUUCUGAGAGGAAAAGUCUGGUUUUGUGUGGUGGAAGCAAGGUGUUCUCGUAGGAGCUUCCGUGGGAGAUUAUAAUGGCGGACUAUAUCAUCAAAGGAUUGAAAAAAGAGAGAAGAGAAAGAAGAGUAAACAAAAUGGAUUGACAAGGAAGCCAAACACACACACACACACAAGAAAUGAAUAUUCUUCGUAUGUUUCUUCUUGGUGGAAUAAGAAAAGACAAUUACUAGUAGUGUUUUGUAAUUAGUGAGAUAUUUGAUUUAGAUUGAUUCACUUGUAAUGCAGCUAUAUAUUGAUUGAUGAUGCAA